UGAAGCCGCGCGGCAAGCGCGAGCAGGUGAUGGCGACCAAGUUCGAGGUUCCCACCGACUGGACGGCGCCCGACCACCCCAAGGGGGACGAGGAGGUCAACUUCCUCAAGGA
rnacentral:sRNA from 1 species